AUCUACACGGAUGAAGAAGCUUACUGGAGGCUCCGCGGUACCCAGCGUUGGGUGCUGCGGGGCGAUGCUAAUACGGCAUAUUUCCAGGCGAUCGCGAAUGGGCGACGACGUCGGAACUCCAUCCACUGUUUGUAGGAUGGUGAUUCCCAGCUCGUCCGCCCCUCGGACAUCCGGACACAUGUAGAUGGCUUCUAUAAAGCCCUAUUCUCCCCCACCCCUCGGGGUGGGAUCGCUCUGGCACCCGACACAUGA
rnacentral:rRNA from 1 species